GCCUACGGGGGGCAGCAGUAGGGAAUCUUCCACAAUGGACGAAAGUCUGAUGGAGCAACGCCGCGUGAGUGAAGAAGGGUUUCGGCUCGUAAAGCUCUGUUGGUAGUGAAGAAAGAUAGAGGUAAUAACUGGCCUUUAUUUGACGGUAAUUACCUAGAAAGUCACGGCUAACUACGUGCCAGCAGCCGCGGUAAUACGUAGGGAGCGAGCGUUGUCCGGAAUUACUGGGUGUAAAGGGAGCGUAGGCGGGCGAGAAAGUUGAAUGUUAAAUCUACCGGCUUAACUGG
rnacentral:rRNA from 1 species